CCAAGUGGAUUAGGGACAACAAUUGGACCAUCGAUCAGAUCCUCGAAGAGUUCCCUCGCUUAAUGACCAAAGGCAUGAUUGCACGGGACUUUCUUGUCCUACAUGGGGAUGCUGCAUCAAAGUUGUCUGAAACUUGGCUACCCAUUUAUGCUGAGAAGAUCCUGUACCUGGCAAGACAGGAGGGGAAGUUGACAUUGCCCCGGAUGGAUUAACACCAGAUGGUGUUGGGGAACUCGCCCUGAGGCAGUUGCCAGCCUUGCUUCUACCUACAAUUUACAAAGUUGGCAGUGGCCACGGUGUGAAAGUAGUUUGCCUCACCAUACAGGAAUGCAGCCUGGCCUUCAUCAACCAU